rnacentral:rRNA from 1 species
UACGAAGGGGGCUAGCGUUGCUCGGAAUCACUGGGCGUAAAGGGUGCGUAGGCGGGCCUUUAAGUCCGGGGUGAAAUCCUGGAGCUCAACUCCAGAACUGCCUUUGAUACUGAGGAUCUUGAGUUCGGGAGAGGUGAGUGGAACUGCGAGUGUAGAGGUGAAAUUCGUAGAUAUUCGCAAGAACACCAGUGGCGAAGGCGGCUCACUGGCCCGAGACUGACGCUGAGGCACGAAAGCGUGGGGAGCAAACAGG